rnacentral:snRNA from 1 species
AUCACUUCUUGGCCUUUUGGCUAGAAUCAAGUGUAGUUUCUGUUCUUGUCAGUUUGAUAUCU